rnacentral:snRNA from 1 species
GGAUGUGAGGGCGAUUUGGCUAUUACAUCUGUCACCCCAUUGAUUGCCAGGGUUGAUUUGAGUGAUCUGGCUGGCCACCACUCCAUGUGCAUCCCUCCCAAGCCUGCAUGCUUGGUCGAAGAGUACAACCAUCCCCGAUAGAGGAAGGUCAUUUCCUUGGUAAAAGGUAUGCAAGUAUCUGAGCUCCUCUGCUAGAAACUCCAAGUUCUUGGGAGGGUGUUAUUUCAUUUCCAUGUGUUUAUGAAGUUUUUAUGGUUUCUU